AUUGAACGCUGGCGGCAGGCCUAACACAUGCAAGUCGAGCGAGUGGCGGACGGGUGAGUAAUGUAUGGGGAACUGCCUGAUGGAGGGGGAUAACUACUGGAAACGGUGGCUAAUACCGCAUACUAUCAGAUGUGCCCAGAUGGGAUUAGCUUGUGGGUGGGGUAACGGCUCACCAAGGCGACGAUCCCUAGCUGGUCUGAGAGGAUGACCAGCCACACUGGAACGGAGACACGGCCCAGACUCCUACGGGAGGCAGCAGUGGGGAAUAUUGCACAAUGGGCGCAAGCCUGAUGCAGCCAUGCCGCGUGUAUGAAGAAGGCCUUCGGGUUGUAAAGUACUUUCAGCGGGGAGGCGUUACCCGCAGAAGAAGCACCGGCUAACUCCGUGCCAGCAGCCGCGGUAAUAC
rnacentral:rRNA from 1 species